ACUCUGCAGACUACACAAAUUGGUAUCACGUCAGAGUCACCUUCUAUUAUAAAGACACAGAGUGAAUAUUUCUACAUUGUUCUUUGCAUCACCAGCCACUACUAUGGAGGAUGUAUUUUGUAGGCUGAGACCAGGUUAUGUGCUGUGCUCCAUGUACAAGAAACGAUAGGAAAUGAAUCAGAGUUCCUGUUGCUCCAGAUUCUCAAGAACAUAUGAUGUCAUCAGUGUUUUAGGUUUUGGUCAUUACAACAGUGGCACCUAGAAAGCCAGCGAGACAGAACCGUUCACUCUUCCGGAAAGGGGGCUGAAACCAGGGAGCCGAGUGGUAUUGCUCAGCGGAUCUCACUCCCAUGAAGCCCAACAAGCUAAGAUCCACUGGCUUGAAACUCUCACUGCCAGCACAGCAGUCUGAAGUCAACCUGAUCCAAGGCUGAAUUCUGCAGUUUUUGGCUUCAUUCCAACUUGAAUUUAUAUAGAAUAUUUUCAAUCUGUGGUUGGUUGAAUCCACAGAUGCAAAACCCACAGACGUGAGGGCUGAUUCUACGUGCAAACUGGCCACAAAAGUCCUGGCUGUCUUCAAAGCUGCAUCCUAACGAGGGCAGAGUACCUGGUACAAUGAAUCUGAUUGUAAUUUACAAGAAAAUCACCUCUACUGCCUACAAUAUGUUACCUCAUUUGUUUCCCAGUUCCUAAUUUGUACCCUUAGAUUCUUAGACCAUAAAGUAUUUCCUGAAGGAAUAGAGGGCUCCAAGUGGGAUGAUUUGAGUAGUUCAUUUUGGUGGCUUUUGUUAUGGAAAUAUGUGAGGAUGGUUGAACUUUAGUACUGAUUUUUCAUUCACAUGACAAGAAUGCCUACAUAAAUCAUGUUGCUCUCCCAUUUAAGUAAUUACUAGGUUUGAAGCCAGUUAAAACAAAUGAUAGAAGAUAUUUUAGGUUAAACAACAUGGUUUUGCUUUCAUUGACAUCAACCAUAAUAGGCCUAAAAAUAUAAGUGCAGAAAAGCAUGUUAGUAUCUUUUAUUUCUUUCAAGUAUAUUCAUUUAGUUGACUUUUUCAAAUAUAUUUUAGCUUAUUUUGCCUUCUGAUAAGAAUAGGACAAUUGAAGAAAAGGUUUUCUCACUUCCUUAACAUUAUGAAAGAAUUUUAUUUUGGAAUUGCCUGAGAGGUAAAUGGAAAAUAUGCUCAGUUGGCCCAAAUUCUUUAUUAAACAACAUUAUAAGUGAAAAUCUGUUUUCCCUGCUAUUAUCUGAGUGCUAUGCUUAAAGAAACAAAUAAACAUCCUGACAGUUGACAGACAGGAAAUAUGUUUUGUUUCCUUUUUUAUUCCGGCUUCAUUAUUUUCCAUGGAGAUGGAUUCUUGAAGCGACAGGCUGUGUUCAUUUCAGUUCAACUGUUCAUUGACUUAUGCAACAUAUCAAAUUCCUUACCAAAGUGAAAAAAAAAAAAAGCAGAAUGAAAUUUAGCUAUGAUUCAACCAGAGAAAUUUACAUGUUGGGCAAGGAUUCUUGUUAUUUAAAGAUAAAGGCAUUUUUGAAAGUCCACUGAAAAAUGGCUAAAAUUUUUCUAAUUCUGGUUUGGUGAUAUAUCCUAUUAAUCUGCCACCACUUAUUAAUGGCACUCAUAAUUUAAAGCCCUCUAACACUGGCACCUCACAUCUCAUUAAGGUAUCUCCUCCCAUUCUUCCUGCAAACAUGACAUUUAGGAGACCAUUAUAUGACUU
rnacentral:lncRNA from 10 species